AGAAGUAUGCAAUAAUAACUUGCGAAAUGCUUUAGUGUUCCCUCGGAGUAUCUGGGGCAUGGCUAGGCAACUAGUCAUAAAACUAAAGAAUGUCAUUUUGCGAGACGCUGCUUCU
rnacentral:ncRNA from 1 species